UACGGAGGGUGCGAGCGUUGUCCGGAAUCACUGGGCGUAAGGGCGCGUAGGUGGCGCGGGCAGUCAACGGUGAAAGUUCGGGGCUCAACCCUGAAUCGGCCGUCGAUACUCCCGGGCUUGAGCACUGUAGAGGCAGAUGGAAUUCCGGGUGUAGCGGUGGAAUGCGUAGAGAUCCGGAAGAACACCGGUGGCGAAGGCGGUCUGCUGGGCGAGCUAGCUGACACUGAGGCGCGACAGCGUGGGGAGCAACAGG
rnacentral:rRNA from 1 species